UGGGGAAUAUUGCACAAUGGGCGCAAGCCUGAUGCAGCCAUGCCGCGUGUAUGAAGAAGGCCUUCGGGUUGUAAAGUACUUUCAGCGGGGAGGAAGGGAGUAAAGUUAAUACCUUUGCUCAUUGACGUUACCCGCAGAAGAAGCACCGGCUAACUCCGUGCCAGCAGCCGCGGUAAUACGGAGGGUGCAAGCGUUAAUCGGAAUUACUGGGCGUAAAGCGCACGCAGGCGGUUUGUUAAGUCAGAUGUGAAAUCCCCGGGCUCAACCUGGGAACUGCAUCUGAUACUGGCAAGCUUGAGUCUCGUAGAGGGGGGUAGAAUUCCAGGUGUAGCGGUGAAAUGCGUAGAGAUCUGGAGGAAUACCGGUGGCGAAGGCGGCCCCCUGGACGAAGACUGACGCUCAGGUGCGAAAGCGUGUGGAGCAAACAGG
rnacentral:rRNA from 2 species